GAUGAACGCUGGCGGCGUGCCUAAUACAUGCAAGUCGAGCGAACAGAUGAGGAGCUUGCUCCUCUGACGUUAGCGGCGGACGGGUGAGUAACACGUGGAUAACCUACCUAUAAGACUGGGAUAACUACGGGAAACCGGAGCUAAUACCGGAUAAUAUAUUGAACCGCAUGGUUCAAUAGUGAAAGACGGUUUUGCUGUCACUUAUAGAUGGAUCCGCGCCGCAUUAGCUAGUUGGUAAGGUAACGGCGUACCAAGGCAACGAGGCGUAGCCGACCUGAGAGGGUGAGCGGCCACACUGGAACGGAGACACGGUCCAGAGGCCUACGGGAGGCAGCAGUAGGGAAUCUUCCGCAAGGGGCGAAGGCCUGACGGAGCAACGCCGCGUGAGUGAUGAAGGUCUUCGGAUCGUAAAACUCUGUUAUUAGGGAAGAACAAAUGUGUAAGUAACUAUGCACGUCUUGACGGUACCUAAUCAGAAAGCCACGGCUAACUACGUG
rnacentral:rRNA from 1 species